AAGACUAUAGACCUGCGGAGUACCUGCGGAAGGAUCAUUACAGAGUUGCAAAACUCCCUAAACCAUUGUGAACGUUACCUAAACCGUUGCUUCGGCGGGCGGCGCGCCCUCGCGCGCGCCCCUGGGCCCCACCGCGGGCGCCCGCCGGAGGUCACCAAACUCUUGAUAUUAAUUGGCCUCUCUGAGUCUUCUGUACUGAAUAAGUCAAAACUUUUAACAAUGGAUCUCUAGAUCGGAAGA
rnacentral:misc_RNA from 1 species